CCAUAUAUCCUUUCCGAUUGCAUUUUUACAUUCACAUUUUUUUCUAAAAUUAGCAACUUGCCAUUGGCAUAACAAACGACUUUCAAGUAGCCCAUGUGUGCAGUUGUGUGCUACAAUAGCCUACCAUUUGGAAUGACUGUUCAUAUGUUCUUAAGUGCCUAAUGCCAUCACAUACUCACAUGCUUCUAAAAUUUAAAAGUUGCUUUCAUUGCCGCAUGUUUCUGGCAGCUCCACCAGAUGAAAUGAGGCUGCAUUUGCGCAUUAGAAGUGCUAAUUGGCUGUCAUCGCAACGAAGAGUUGUCUGUGAAGCACGCUCCAAAUCUAGUGGCAUGGAGUACUUGUUUAAGUAGCCUGAAAGUGUUAUUCUAAUACAGGAAUUGCGGAGAAGCUAUGCUCAAGUGUGGUUACUGCUCGAGGAGUAGCACGUUCACCAAAUUUCAGCAAUCUAAACAGCUCUCCAGGAUCCGGGAUGUGAAACAGUAGCUUCACCAAUUUUAACAGACCACAUUCAAUUAAAGUUGCCCCUAUAUUAAAGGACGUCCACGGGAUGCGAGACAGCAGCCUUUCAGCAGAGGGAACAUGAGCUGUGUGGCAAUUUUCUUUUGGUUCUUUCAAUCAAAGCAACAACAGGCACAGAGUUGCCAGCAUUGCUGUCAAGAGUACUACGUUUAGUGGGCGCUUACUCAUUCUAAGCACCUAACCUGCGACUCGUAUUUAUUAACGCGCACUUUAUCACUUUGUAUUCUAAGAUUUGAAAAAAAAAUAUUUAUGUGGCUUUUCCCCAUAUACUUCAAUAAAUUUAGAAUAGGCCCUUGGUGACUACUGUAUAAAGCUUCUUACAGACCAUCAGACAUGCCCAUUACUCCCAUUCUGAAAUUGUUGGAAUUCUUUCCUGCUUCCUUACUUCACUUGCCUGUUUACAGGGUUAUUAUGAACCAUUGCUAGGUAGAUUAUGGGCUUAAAUUUCUCAAGAAGAUGAAUGGGCUUUCCCGUUGUUCUUGUUUAGCCCGUUGAGGAUCACACCUUGGGUAGAAAUGUGCCUCUCCAAUUUAGGAGUUAUAUAUUUUUAGUGCUGUGCAAAUACUCGAAACUUUCGAAUUGAAGUGUGUCCUAUUCGAUUUGAUCUUUGCUUGGUCACUAUUUGUAAAUGCGAAUAUUAUUCAAUCAUUACAAAACAUCAAUAAAACACAAAGUUUGAGCCAAAGUAUGAUAAAUUUUCACCUCCAAUAACCUAGUAUAGACAUAAAAUGUGGGAACUUGCACGAAUAGCGGACCAGGCUACGUUACCUAAGUAGCUGUACUUUAGAGGCAGUACAGCAAUCAUUUAUGCUUACUGAAGAGUCCUGUGCAUGUGAAAAAACCUUUUGCUGCUCCAGUUGUGCUUUUAAUAAACAGCUCUUCAUAACAUAGCAUGCAAUGACAGAAACUUGCUAACUUUAAGAAUACUAGGAUGUGAACAUAAUUUUACAUUAAUUGUGAUAUCAGCUGUUCAUUAUUCAGAAGCUAUUAUUCCGUUUUGUCUCAAAAAUCACUAUUCGCGCAUCCCUAAUAUUUUUAUUGCAGAUUUGAGUUCUUCAGAAUGACUUUUCGGAAGAAAACUGGUAAAUAAUUGUUUUUAGUGACAAUGAAGCGGCAAAACCCUUUUAGUAUUUGCAGUUUUACGUGUUAUUUUUAUCUGCAGGAUAAAGCAGCAUAACUUUUUUGUGUAAUGAAACUUAGAAAAACUUGUUUUAUAGUAAACUACGUGAAGAGGCAACACUUCUAAACUGCUGCAAUGACAGACACCAAGGAGCUAAGUGAAAAAUCAGUUUUGGAGGAAGCCAAUGGGUGACAGCACAACAAGAAUAUUUUCUAGAAGUCCCAGAAGGUUGCAGCGCCUGCAGGGUGAUGCUAUGCAACACUUCGUUCUGAAAAGGCACAUAUUUCAAUAUGUUCCAUCGCAGCCACAGAUGUAUGGCAGUGAACCUCAAAGGGUUAAAGAAGUCAGUCCUCUGCCGUAUGGCUCUUAGAAGACUUGAAAAUUUCUUCGUAUCUGUCACAUUCAGCAUAUGUCAUGGCAACCAGCUUGGUGCACCACCACAGGCUUCACGUGUCGCAAAUUUCCUGGUACCAACAUGCCCUUGUAAAGAACUCUGGCCUCGCUUCUCGCAUGGGACGAAAAGCCUCUGAAAAGCCCAAGUUGGACAGCUCAAACCAAAACACAACUGUUGUGCUUUUGUAACUCUGCAUGUUUAUGUUCGUUUAUGUUUACGUUAGUCUCCUGAAGAGCCCAAUUCAAAUUUCUCAUACGAGCGUACAAAUGUUGUACCUUUCUAUGCCUUGACAUUUCUAUGUUAAUUUUAUUUAUGUUAAUUAUGCUAGUCUCCUUAGAAGCCCACAUUGGAUUGCUUAAUACAGAACACAAAUGGCAAACCAUUUCAAGUUUGCUUGAUGUUAAAAAAGUCGGUACAAUGAGAAAAUUUUUGAAAAAGUUGCGUUCACAUACACCUGAGUCAUUCCAGUGCAACCAACCAGCAUUUUUUUUUUUUUGCCAUCACCGAUAUAGAUGAAAACAUUUCGAUGCGUUUGUUGAAACUCGAACUCUAUUUGUCUAUGUAUUUUGCUUCCUAAAAAUUUUCUAGAAUUUUGGCAAAAAUUGAUUGUUCUUGCCCAGCUAAGCUAGAAGGCACUGAUCCAUGUUUCUGUUCAAAGGGAAAGUGUAUGAUCCAGAUAUUGAGAUGGUGUUCAUGUCAAGAGAGUGAAGUGGUGUGACUGCCGAAAGUGCAGUUUUAAUUUGUUUCUCUGAAUGCAGGGAAAUACAGAAGGCUUAAAAUAAAUAUAGAAUCGCAGCCUAGUUGACUUCAGAUAGCCGCAAAAUAGUUGAAGUCUUGGAGGUUCAGUUGAUCACAUAAAAAAACUAAAGUUCAUAUGUUUUGCAAAAAGCUUCAUGUUGAAUGUGAACAAAUUAGCUUUGGUGGCUGGCGCAAAGUACAUGUCACCCAUCAUUUGUACCCCUGCAUGUCUGCUAUGCAUGUGACAAGUUAUGAGGUAUCUUAAGUGGGAUAAAUUAUUUUUAUAAUGUUCAUUUGUGGAUAACACAUACAGCAUAAAUAUAUAAAGCCUUGUCAUCUAGCAAUGAAAGGUUGUUAAUAUAAUUAGCCACAAAAACUAGUCAAAAAACUGUGACUGCCUGUUUUUUUAUCAUUACAAAGGCAGGUGACGUCAAGUGCCGUAGUCUCUACUCGUAUUUCUUUUUUUACAUAAACGCUAAAAGUGGUCGCCAACGACAUCUGACCACAUCUGACUGAACACGGCACAUAUGACGUAUAGAUGAGCAUGUUCCAGCUCUGAAACAGUGGUAACAUGAAACACCACAAGAAUUUGUUCGUACUCGUGUAGGUUUUCAGUUUUAAUUAUGAAGCUGUUUUCUACUCGCAUCGUCAUUGGGUUCCAAGGAGCAGGGCACAAAGUGUCCUGCUCCCUGUGUGUUGCAUUUCAGUGCGACAUCCUUCAAAAUGCUCUGCAUGAGCAAUAUCAGGGCUCUUUCUGGAUUUACUGUGUACGUAAUAGAAGAUAUUUGUUUUUGUAAACUGCAUGAAACAUCUUUUAGCACUGCUGGACUCCCUCACGAAUUUAACACGUAUCAUUAUUUUAUGAGCAAUGACUGUAUGGUUUACCCAAGCACAAGCCUCCUUGCGUUCGAGCGUGCAUCUCUUGGCAAUAAGAUGCAGACCCCAACACCGCUUCUCUAUAAUCUAUCUGUGUUGCAGACAAAGCCAACUUUGUCGUCUGCAUUCCCAGCCGGCAAGCUUGUGCGCACAUCCGGAAAAUGCAGUGCUGACAAAACUUUUAAAAAGAAUGUUUCACAUUUAAAAAUAAUGCCUUCUUUUUUAACUUCACAUGCAUAGCAGAUAUGUAGAACUAUCUAACAAUGUAUCACAUAUUUUUUGGUCAACUAUGAAACCAGUUCUUAUCUUGAACAUGAAGCUUGUUGCAAAUUAUUUCACAGUUUCAUUACAGGCGAUCAGCUAAACCUUCAGAGCUUCAAAUAUUUUUCUGCUAUACUAUGUAACCUGUGCUACCAAUCUAUAUUUAAUUUCUGUCUUCUGAAUUUUUCGUUAGAAAAAAAUUAACGCAUUGUAAUUUUACUCACUUUUGCCAGUGCCAAAAACACUCGCAGUGUUCAAAUAUUUUAAAAAAUUGUUAUUUUGGCAGUCGCAUCACUUCACCGUAUUUCCAUGCACAGCGUUUGAACGCAUGUGCGUUUUAAUGAGAAUGUUGAUUGACAUCCUCUAGCUCAGCUGAGCAGGAAAGCUAUACUGUCGCCAAAAUGGUACAAAAUUUUUGUCAAUAAUAAAUAAAAGUGUGGAAGGAGUUUUGAACUCCAGUAAACAUGUGGCGAUGUUUUCAGCUUUAUCUGCUGUUGAAAAAACGCUGGUCGAUUCGGCCUGGAAAGACACACCUGCAAGUGCAUCUAUGCGUUUAUCAGAGUUGUUCUGUAAAAACUGAAUUUUAUAUAACUUCAUAAAAUGGUUCAUUUUGCUAUCUAAAAUACAUGAGUAAGAAUUGUUAGGUAUCAGUUGGCUUAAAUUUAAAGGGCAACAGAAGCCCUCCAGUAAUGGCAAUGAUGUGCCUUUCGUGUUUGCAUGAAACCAGAUUUUUUUUUAGAUUUCGUUAUUUUUUGGGGCAAUGAACAAAAGUGAAAUGAAAUCACACAAGGAAUAAUUUUGUAGCAUUCCAGCACGUCACUUAGGUGUUUUUUCGUAUAAAAUCUGAAGCAGUCAAUACGAAUAAGUCGCUUGAUGUGGAAUGACUUGCGCAGGAACGUUAUGGCAAAUAACAAUUGGAUCGUGCAACAGCAAUGCAGCAUAAUAAACUCCUCCCAUGGCAUCACUUAUUGCGAUUGCGAUGUUUCAAAAGUAGAUAAGGUUUACUGAAAUUGGCACACACCAUUCAACCAACAAAUAAGGAUUGUACAGAGUUAUCCUUUUUCAGUCUUACAGAUUUUUUUUAGGUUGCCUGUGCCAGGUAGCAUAACUUGUUCUUGAGCUACAUUAUUCAAAGGUGGACAGCACUAGCACAAGAAAGAGAAACACAUUCAACUGAUUCUCACAAAUUUAAUAAUUAACUUAUAACAUUGCGGCACAUAUUUCAAUUUACAAAUUGUAGCCAGUGAGUUUGAAAGACGUUUUCACUUGAAAAUAAUUUCCAGGAUGACCAACCAGUUUCGAGAUUUUUGCAUAAAUGUGAGACAAAAUACAUGAGCAUUCCAGUUACUUUCGUGCUUCAGUGCAUAACAGUGCGUUUUGUUAAAAAGAGCAAGUGCAACAACAGUGGAUUUCUGGUCAGUUUGAUGGCAUCUGUCUCAUUACUGGUAUUCUGGAAAUUCAUUCUAAGUGCAUAUACCUUUUAAAAUUACCGCCAUAAUUGGUCAAAAAUUUAUUAGGAAGUGAGUUUUUGUUAGCUAAAUAUGCGUCUUGAUUUGUCAUACAAGUAAUGUUUGGCACUUUGUAUCUAGAAGUAUGUUAGCUGCAACAGCCAAGAUUUAAUAAACUCUAUGAAACUUAGAUACCCUACAUAUCAGUGUCCCAGUGAGUGCUGUGGGCUCAAGCGAAUCGUGCCAUGGUUGUACCACUAAUAAAGAAAGCAAGUACUUUU